rnacentral:rRNA from 1 species
AGGACGAACGCUGGCGGCGUGCUUAACACAUGCAAGUCGAGCGGUAAGGCCUUUCGGGGUACACGAGCGGCGAACGGGUGAGUAACACGUGGGUGAUCUGCCCUGCACUCUGGGAUAAGCCUGGGAAACUGGGUCUAAUACCGGAUAUGACCUGCUCUCGCAUGGGGGUGGGUGGAAAGAUUUAUCGGUGCAGGAUGGGCCCGCGGCCUAUCAGCUUGGUUGGUGGGGUAAUGGCCUACCAAGGCGACGACGGGUAGCCGACCUGAGAGGGUGACCGGCCACACGUGGGACUGAGACACGGCCCAGACUCCUACGGGAGGCAGCAGUGGGGAAUAUUGCACAAU